GGUGCCACCCAAGUGGACUCCUGCUGCAAGGAAUUUGAGGACGUCCUCCCCCUUCAUCUGUAGGACAUCCAGGGCUCCAGACAUUGUGAAACCUUCAAGUUAUUAUGGGAACCCAGGACAACACCAUAUGGACCCCCUCUGAGUUGUAUAGAGUGGUACACCCAAAGUUUGGUUGCUAGAGUGCUCACUCUUCUGUGGCUGGAAAUCCUGAAAUGUAAAAUGUUGAGGGAGUUAUUAUGCUGAGUAAAACACCCAGGCGCGGGAGAUCAUGUGCGUAAGACCUCGAAUUUCUUUCUGGCUCUCAGUGUGGGAGUCAUGGUUGUUUCCCUUGCGUCAUCCUCCACAUGUGGCUUUUCAUCUUACAUUCUGGCCUUGCUCCAGGACCUGGGGAAGGUCACCCCCAGAAUGGCUGGGCAGGGAGGAGCUCGCUUAACAGUGUGGCCCUAAUGGCAUUCUUUAGUGCUCCACCUCGGUGGGGCAAAAGCAAGAGUGGGAAUUCCAGAGAGGCCUCAACUUAAAGGUUUGGUCUGAGAGCACAGCUAGAGGGAUUUCUGCCCUGAGCUGCUGUAACCAGGAGUGAGUGAGCUUCUGUCAUUUCCCCACCGAAUAAAAAAUGGAAUUUAUGAUGAAUGGUUGUUAAAUAGAGUGAUCUGGACUUAUUCUUUCCAGCCUAGUGAGACCCAUCCCAACCUUUUACAGUUUCUUUAAAGACAGCAUGAGAAACCUCAGUGUCCUCUGGAGGUUUUUGUAAAUGGAUGCCAGCCCAGCCUUUAUUAAACUGGGUUUAUACAUCACAUAAUUGCCUGUCUGGACGCCCCUCUUCCAGACUGCCUGAGCAAGGACAGGGUUUAUCGAGGGCUUUCUUCUGCUGCACAUGCUGCCCUCUGGUCAUGUUUUGGUUCUUGUGGCUUCAACUUCAUCUUUUUCUAUGUUAUCCCUGAGUUUCUUAAAGUUUCUCCCUUUCUCAGUCUGUUUCUUUUCAUCUGUGUAGAUUAUGUCUACUGAUGUUGAUAAUCACUUCGACUCAACUGGAAGUGCUGCAGCAAGGCUUCCUGAAAACCUGUUCCGCAUAAAGCACGCUGGAGCUGUUCUCUUCAACAUGGAGUCUUAGAGCUGCAGCAUCCAGCAUGGUAGCCGUUAUCCGUAUGCGGCUGCUUAAAUUUAAAUUAAUUAAAAUUAAAUAUUCAAGCGCUCUGUAGCUACAUGUGGCUAGUGGCUACUGUGUUCGCACAGACGUAGAAUGUUUCCGUGGCCAUGGAAAGUUCAUUGGAUGGUGCUGUUACAGAGUUUCAGUUGUUUAGAACUCUAACUCACCACUUGUCUUUCAUUUAUAAGAUAGUCAAAAACUCAUAUCUUUCGAUGAGAACCUUUUUUUUUAGCAAUUCAAAUCACAUUUAUUGAAUUUGACUGUUAGGUACUUUAGGAAAUGCAAGGACAAAUAAAAUAUGUUUCUUGUCCUCAAGGAACUUAAAAUAUAUUAAGGAAAACCGGCACGUAACACAGCUAAUGAGAUUGCAAGGCAGGAUGUGCAAAGUGAUGUCACAGAGGGUGUGACCUGGGAAUGGUCUUAACUUGCAAACAACAGAGUCUCCAAGUAAUGGCUGAAUUUAGUGGCUGAAAUAGAAAAUAAUUUCCCUUUCAGUUAAGAAUCUGGAGGUAGGCAAUCCAGAGCUGUUAUGGUGGCUCCAUUCCACCAAGUCCUCAGGGCCCAGUUCCUUCUCGCUUCUGCUUCGUCAUCCCUGUGGUGUGGCCCUUGUCGUCAUAGUCCAGGAUGGCACCUCGGUCGUGACAUUCGUGUCCCAGUCGGCAGGAUGAGGCGUGCAUCCACUGUCUCUUUAGGUUCCCAGAAGCUGCCUCCGGACAUUUGCACCGGCAUCCUAUUCACUUGAAUUUGGUCACUUGGCCACACCUAGCUGCAGGGAAACAUAAUCUUUUUUUCUGGGUGGCCCUCUUUCCAGCUAAACUUUCUUUUAGUAACAGAAGAAGGGGGAAACAGACGUUGGAGGAAGCUAACAGUCUCUUACCAAGAGAGAUAAGACGGAAGCCAGAUUACAGAGGUCUUCAAGGCGGUCCACGGAAUUGGUACCUUGCUGCUCGGCUCUGUGGAGCAGUUGAUAGUCUCAGUGUAGGGAGUUCAUACGACUGGAGGCUGUUCGUGGUGAUGGGCUCUGCCGUGGUUCCUCAAACCAGCAAUACUCGCGUACUUUCAAGAGCAGCUACUUUCAAUUAAAACAAAAAUGCCCCCCUCCCAUCUUCCAACAUCCUUUGCCACUCUCCCUCCUCUUUACAGAAGGGAAGAGGCAGCUGAGGGGAGGCAGUGUGCGAAGGCAGCCCUUCCACCUGGCGGCUCUCCCUUGGACCUCCUCCAGUGGCCCCCUGGCCCUCUCGAAAUGUGCCGAGAAGAGAAAUCAUCCCCUCGGAGAGCUCUUCCUAUUAGGUGAUCCUCAGAAUUUCUUUGGCAAAUUUUUGACCAUCUGAUGGCUGGCUUGUGAGAUUAUUCCAGGUUUUUAGCUCUAGAAAAACAAAUUACAAAGAAAUGUCAACAUAAAAGACUGCAGCUAAACAUAAAAAUUUGAGUGCUCAGGAUCAGAAAUAAUAAGAUGACUGCUUUGAAAUGAGAAGAGACCCAUGAGGGGAAAAGUGGCUGUGACUGCGGACGGCGAAAAUAUAAAGGGACCACCGGAUGUGGACUGUUUCUACUGUGGGCGUGCUUCAUUGCCAUGGCGCUUGUGACAAUGACAGAGUUGCUGACGAGCCUGGAGUGGACUGAUUUGAGCUGGUUCUUGGCCCAUUCAUCAUUUGUUUAACAGGUGUUUGUGAAGCACCUGCUCUGUGUGGAACACUGCACACAGUUGGCUGCCGGCUCAGCUACAAAGCAGAGAGCGACAGGGUGAGCGUCCCAGUGUCGCAAGGCCUCGAGGCAUGGCUGGAGGGACCUCGGAGUCAAUCUCUGGCCUCUCUUCUGAGGGCUAAUUAUGGCAUUUGUUCCACUGGGACCUGGAUGGAAACCACGAAACGAAUGUCAGCAAGACUUCAACGUUUCUUUCAGCCUCCAUGAAGACUGGAUUUGAAUGAAAUCUUCUAGAUUUAAAUUUGUUGCCAUGGAAUUAGCAUCCGAGGCCUUUAUAUACUUUUUGCUUCUUGGGGAAAGAAACAUAAGCUAAUCUGGCUGGUGUACAGCUACAGAGGGAUGGCUCUUUGGGUCUUGGGAACACGGUUGUUUCCUCCAGGACACUGGAACUGUUGCUAGGUCUGUGAUGGGAUUAAAAACUUCUAUUCCUGGAGAGGAGAGACCACCUCACUGUGCCACAUUGUUGUAAAAAGAACAAGCCCUUUGGGAGGGAUCUGUUGUACACAAUUGAAAUAAAGUUAAUAAGGCCUUGACUUCUUA
ensembl:lncRNA